rnacentral:rRNA from 1 species
GCCCUUCGGGGUACACGAGCGGCGAACGGGUGAGUAACACGUGGGUAACCUGCCCUGUACUCUGGGAUAAGCCUGGGAAACUAGGUCUAAUACCGGAUACGACCUGUCACCGCAUGGUGGUGGGUGGAAAGUUCCGGCGGUAUGGGAUGGACCCGCGGCCUAUCAGCUUGUUGGUGGGGUAAUGGCCUACCAAGGCGACGACGGGUAGCCGGCCUGAGAGGGUGACCGGCCACACUGGGACUGAGACACGGCCCAGACUCCUACGGGAGGCAGCAGUGGGGAAUAUUGCACAAUGGGCGAAAGCCUGAUGCAGCGACGCCGCGUGAGGGAUGACGGCCUUCGGGUUGUAAACCUCUUUCAGCAGGGACGAAGCGCGAGUGACGGUACCUGCAGAAGAAGCACCGGCUAACUACGUGCCAGCAGC